AGGACGAACGCUGGCGGCGUGCUUAACACAUGCAAGUCGAGCGGAAAGGCCCUUCGGGGUACUCGAGCGGCGAACGGGUGAGUAACACGUGAGCAACCUGCCCUUAGCUCUGGGAUAGCUCCGGGAAAACCGGAAUUAAUACCGGAUAUUACACCGGCUGGCAUCGGCUGGUGUGGAAAGAUUUAUCGGCUAAGGAUGGACUCGCGGCCUAUCAGCUUGUUGGUGGGGUAGAAGCCUACCAAGGCGACG
rnacentral:rRNA from 1 species